AGUGCUGUGUUAAGUAGUACUAUUCUUAUCAGUUUAAUCCCUGUUACGUCCCCUAUCAGGGGACGUGUAUAUGGCAUCGAUUUUAGGAACUGGGAGACGGAAAAAGAUGCUUGGUCGGUCCUCCUUCUUCGAAUUUGGGGCACUGCACGUGCAAUCUAAUGUGCCACCAGAUAUGAGUU
rnacentral:snRNA from 1 species